GCAGGGAGACAUUCUUGUUGUAUCAAUAUCAUCGAAUAUACUUUAUAUUAUAUUUAAUGUAGCUUUCUUCUUGAGAACAUGAUUUUGAAUUAAAUAUUCUGGCAAAACUUUUCCUGCCUGUCUAGCUACUAUCUCUGCUUUAACUAUCAUAGCUGGUAUCCCAGUAGUUUAGGAUACCAGCUAUGAGUUUUUUUUAAGAGCUACGACAUUGGCAUCUCAAAUAGAGCAUCAUGAAAUACGAAAAUACAUGCUCUUCUGAGAAGCAUUAUCUUCAUUCCAGACAACAUAUUCGGACAUUUAAACAUAUCAACAACUUGCAAGGAUAAGAAAUCAAACAGUAGGGAUUGUAGGUGAAGAGCCCUCUCUUUCACCCCUUUCACCGACACUGUUAUCUGCAAACUUUAAGCUUGCUGAGUGUUCAAUCGGUAUUCUAAUAGAAUGGACAAAAGUUGGAUAAAUAAGUUAAGAUCUA